CAGGAGCCCUAAGCUGUGCCCAUCUGGGCAGAGGAGACCUCCUCCUAUCAUCACUGAAGAUGAACAACUGAAAUCAUUUGGAUUGAAAUGGAGAAUAAGAUCAUUCUAUGUACUUUUCUUUCAUAAUGACUGGCCUCAAUUUAAAGAAAAGUGUGAUCAUUCAGACACUUCCAUGUCAAGAGAAAUGAAAUAUAUGUAACACGUAGCCAUCUAUCAAGAUCCACUGGAGACAAGUCCUCUUAGAGAAGAUAUUUGACACUCCACAUUCAAAGUAAUGCUUGAGGCUUUUAUCUGUACAAAUGAACUGAGGCUCUUUUCAACAGCCAGUGACUGGAGAGCUGAAGAUCUGAUCAAAUCUAUGUGACUGUGUUGGAGUUAGCUGAGUAGCACAGUCUCAAGUUGUGCUGGGGAAUCUGGAAAGUGAAUGACCACAACACCUAAUGCCCUUUGAGACACUACAGUGCAUCCCAGCAGUGCUUCAAGCAUCCUCACAAAAAAUGACAGAUGUGCAUCUUCAUUAGGCCCUAUUGUCCUUUUCUGCUUAUUUUAGGGCAGGCAUUACAGAAGACUAUUAAGGCUAUUCUCUUUCUGGUGUUGCAGCUAGAGGCUAUAAGGAUUACUCCAGGUAAUCUAAAUUGGUACCAGCUGCCUCUUUUCAGGUGAGAGACUUCAGGCUGUCCCUGACAUCUUUAUUGCUUAUGCUGCCUUUGCAGCCUAUGUAUGUUACUCAGGCGACUUUGAGCACUGUAAUAUGUUGAGUGUGUAACUUUGUGAAAAAAAUCCAGUGAAUGCAACUAACAUCUGGAUAAUUGUUAGUGAUCUGGAUGAAACAUUAAUUAUUCAGAUCUGGGUUUCUUUUCUGUCUCUUUGUGUACCCUGUAGCAAUUUGCCAGUUAUCUAUUCCUUCUCUUAAGUUUGUCAUGCCAUGUUGAUGGAGACAUCCAAGCAAUAAUGCAUAUUCCUAUGUACUUCUACUGUUUCUUGUUAUUCCUUCCACUGUCUGUAACUCAUGCAUUUCUACUGUAG